CCCUUAGAUGUUCUGGGCCGCACGCGUGCUACACUGAGUGGAUCAGCGGGUCAGGUUGCGCGAAAGUGUUUCCUAAUCUUGAAAUCCGCUCGUGAUGGGGAUUGACGGUUGCAAUUUUCCGUCAUGAACGAGGAAUACCUUGUAAGCGCGGGUCAUCAUCCCGCGCUGAAUACGUCCCUGCCCUUUGUACACACCGCCCGUCUCUCCUACCGAUUGAGUGGUCCGGUGAGGCUUUGGGAUCUGAGCGGAAAGAGCGUUUCGCUGUUUCUGCUCGGAAAACUCAGUCGAACCUUAUCAUUUAGAGGAAGGAGAAGUCGUAACA
rnacentral:rRNA from 1 species